rnacentral:rRNA from 1 species
AACGAACGCUGGCGGCAUGCCUAACACAUGCAAGUCGAACGAGACCAUCGGGUCUAGUUGCGCACGGGUGCGUAACGCGUGGGAACCUGCCCGUAGGUUCGGAAUAACUCCCCGAAAGGGGUGCUAAUACCGGAUAAUGUCUUCGGACCCAAGAUUUAUCUCGCUUGGAUGGGCCCGGGUUGGUUUAGCUUGGUGGUAGGGUAAAAGCCUAUCAAGGCGACGAUCCAUAGCUGGGCUGAGAGGAAGAUCAGCCACACUGGGACUGAGACACGGCCCAGACUCCUACGGGAGGCAGCAGUGGGGAAUAUUGGACAAUGGGGGAAAGCCUGAACCAGUUAGGCCGGGUGAGUGAUGAAGGCCUUAGGGUUGUAAAGCUCUUUUACCCGGGAUGAUAAUGACAGUACCGGGAGAAUAAGCACCGGCUAACUCCGUG